AUUUUAGCUGGUGCUAUGGUGCCUUCUGUUAUGCUUAUUCUUGGAGGCAUGCUAGCAGAAGGACCAAAUGAGUCUACACUUGGUCUUAGGACCACAAUUGGCAUGUCUGUAGCUAGGCUUUUGGUGCUUCCUCUGCUGGGAAUUGGCGUUGUAGCGUUGGCAGAUAAGCUGAAUUUUCUUGUACAAGGCGAUGCAAUGUACAGAUUCGUGCUCUUGUUACAGUACACAACACCAAGCGCCAUUUUAUUGGGAGCAAUUGCCAGCCUGAGGGGUUAUGC
rnacentral:misc_RNA from 1 species